GACGAACGCUGGCGGCGUGCCUAAUACAUGCAAGUCGAACGCACUCUCGUUUAGAUUGAAGGAGCUUGCUCCUGAUUGAUAAACAUUUGAGUGAGUGGCGGACGGGUGAGUAACACGUGGGUAACCUGCCCUAAAGUGGGGGAUAACAUUUGGAAACAGAUGCUAAUACCGCAUAAAACCUAAACACCGCAUGGUGUAGGGUUGAAAGAUGGUUUCGGCUAUCACUUUAGGAUGGACCCGCGGUGCAUUAGUUAGUUGGUGAGGUAAAGGCUCACCAAGACCGUGAUGCAUAGCCGACCUGAGAGGGUAAUCGGCCACACUGGGACUGAGACACGGCCCAGACUCCUACGGGAGGCAGCAGUAGGGAAUCUUCCACAAUGGACGAAAGUCUGAUGGAGCAACGCCGCGUGAGUGAAGAAGGUUUCGGAGUCGUAAAACUCUAGUUGUUGGAGAAGAAUGUAUCUGAUAGUAACUGAUCAGGUAGUGACGGUAUCCAACCAGAAAGCC
rnacentral:rRNA from 1 species